CCCUGGGUGGUGUAAAUGGUUAACACACUUGGCUGCUAGCCAAAAUUUGGUAGUUCAACACCACCCAGAGGAU
rnacentral:tRNA from 1 species